UACGUAGGGUGCAAGCGUUAAUCGGAAUUACUGGGCGUAAAGCGUGCGCAGGCGGUUGUGCAAGACCGAUGUGAAAUCCCCGGGCUUAACCUGGGGAUGGCAUUGGUGACUGCACGGCUAGAGUGUGUCAGAGGGGGGUAGAAUUCCACGUGUAGCAGUGAAAUGCGUAGAGAUGUGGAGGAAUACCGAUGGCGAAGGCAGCCCCCUGGGAUAACACUGACGCUCAUGCACGAAAGCGUGGGGAGCAAACAGG
rnacentral:rRNA from 1 species